UAACUGCUCCCCUUUGAUCUUUUCCCCUCUCUUUUGGAUUACUCGAUGUUGUUUACCGCCCCGGAAGAGUAGAAGUGGGGAGAAUAAGAUGAGGCUGUGAAGCGGAAAGCAGAGGAGGCGUGCCCUGAUGCUGCCCGGGAGCAGGGAGGGAAAAGGAGCCCUGGAAUGGAUUCGAUGUCAGGGCUGAGAGAAGUGGAGCCCACAGCUUGUUGGCCUCGUCGCAGCAAUUACAUGCUCAGAUGGACGCCGCUCAUGAGCGGUUUAUGAAUGCAAUUGGUGGUUGAAGCAGUUGGUACUCACUCUCCGGAUGAAGUCUCUUCUGCAAAGCAAAGGUACGGAGUCCCAGCGACGUUUCUCUGAAUUUGGUGAGGCCAAGCUUAGAUUGUCCCAAACUUAUUUAAGAGUUUGAUGUUGAAAGGUUGAGGACGUACAUGCUUGAUUGAUAAGUCAUGAAAUGCUCAAAU